rnacentral:rRNA from 1 species
CAGCAGCCGCGGUAAUACGUAGGGGGCAAGCGUUAUCCGGAAUUACUGGGUGUAAAGGGAGCGUAGACGGUUAAACAAGUCUGAAGUGAAAUGCCGGGGCUCAACCCCGGAGCUGCUUUGGGAACUGUAGAACUGGAGUGUCGGAGGGGUAAGCGGAAUUCCCAGUGUAGCGGUGAAAUGCGUAGAUAUUGGGAGGAACACCGGCGGCGAAGGCGGCUUACUGGACGACAACUGACGUCGAGGCUCGAAGGCGUGGGUAGCAGACAGGAUUAGAUACCCCGGUAGUCCCUGUCUCUUAUAC